GACGGACGCUGGCGGCGUGCUUAACACAUGCAAGUCGAGCGGUAAAGGCCCUUUGGGGUACACGAGACGGCGAACGGGUGAGUAACACGUGAGUAAUCUGCCUUUGGCGUUGGGAAUAACUUCGGGAAAUCGGGGCUAAUGCCUGAUGGUUUACUGUCUGCUGCAUGGUGGGUGGUGGAAAGAUUUUUUGGCCAGGGAUGAGCUCGCGGUCUAUCAGCUUGUUGGUGGGGUAAUGGCUACCAAGGCUUUGACGGGUAGCCGGCCUGAGAGGGUGUUCGGCCA
rnacentral:rRNA from 1 species